GAGGCAUUGAAAUGGAAAAUCAGAUUAAAUAUUUAAAAUGGACAAGAGCCUGCGGCUACCCAGAAUUACGAGUAUGUGCUCUAAUGUGGAUUUUUAUGGUUUAUGCUUGCGCUGGUGAAGAACAGAUGUCGGAUUAAUGUUGAGGUGAAAUCAUGAAUAAAAUGGAUGAAUGGAUGGAUAAUUAG